rnacentral:rRNA from 1 species
UACGAAGGUGUCAAACGUUGUCCGGAAUUACUGGGCGUAAAGGGCGCGUAGGCGGUUGGAUAAGUCAGAUGUGAAAGCUCAGGGCUCAACCCUGAGAUUGCAUCUGAUACUGUCUAACUUGAGUUCGGUAGAGGAGGGCGGAAUUCCUGGUGUAGCGGUGAAAUGCGUAGAUAUCAGGAGGAACACCUGUGGCGAAGGCGGCUCUCUGGUCCGAUACUGACGCUGAGGCGCGAAAGCUAGGGUAGCAAACAGG